UGACUUGUGGCUGGGGGUGAAAGGCCAAUCAAACCGGGAGAUAGCUGGUUCUCCCCGAAAGCUAUUUAGGUAGCGCCUCGUGAAUUCAUCUCCGGGGGUAGAGCACUGUUUCGGCAAGGGGGUCAUCCCGACUUACCAACCCGAUGCAAACUGCGAAUACCGGAGAAUGUUAUCACGGGAGACACACGGCGGGUGCUAACGUCCGUCGUGAAGAGGGAAACAACCCAGACCGCCAGCUAAGGUCCCAAAGUCAUGGUUAAGUGGGAAACGAUGUGGGAAGGCCCAGACAGCCAGGAUGUUGGCUUAGAAGCAGCCAUCAUUUAAAGAAAGCGUAAUAGCUCACUGGUCGAGUCGGCCUGCGCGGAAGAUGUAACGGGGCUAAACCAUGCACCGAAGCUGCGGCAGCGACACUAUGUGUUGUUGGGUAGGGGAGCG
rnacentral:rRNA from 1 species